GUUCAUUGGCUCUUCUUGGCACCAAACUACCUCUGCAUUUGGAUAUCGCUUCAAUUCACGCUGGAUAAGGUCAUAAGGGAAAGGACAAAGCUGUUCCACCCGACAGAUAGCAAUGUCUUUCCCAUCAGCUUUAGCUCUUUCUUCGUCAAGCUCAUAAUAGAUCUUUCCUGAGCAAAGGACCAGCCGUCUGAUACCCUCUGCAUCUUUUCUUGCCUCUGAUUG
rnacentral:misc_RNA from 1 species